rnacentral:tRNA from 1 species
UCCCUGGUGGCUCAGAGGGUAAAGCAUCUGCCUGCAAUGCGGGAGACCCAGGUUUGAUCCCUGGGUCGGGAA